GGGCCCGCACAAGCGGCGGAGCAUGUUGCUUAAUUCGACGCAACGCGAAGAACCUUACCAAGGUUUGACAUGCAGGGAAAAGCCGUAGAGAUACGGUGUCCGUAAGGGCCCUGCACAGGUGGUGCAUGGCUGUCGUCAGCUCGUGUCGUGAGAUGUUGGGUUAAGUCCCGCAACGAGCGCAACCCUCGUCCUAUGUUGCCAGCGGAUAAUGCCGGGGACUCAUAGGAGACUGCCGGGGUCAACUCGGAGGAAGGUGGGGAUGAGGUCAAGUCAUCAUGCCCCUUAAGUCUUGGGCUGCAAACAUGCUACAAUGGCCGGUACAGAGGGCUGCGAAACCGCAAGGUGGAGCGAAUCUCAAAAAGCCGGUCUCAGUUCGGAUUGGGGUCUGCAACUCGACCCCAUGAAGUCGGAGUCGCUAGUAAUCGCAGAUCAGCAACGCUGCGGUGAAUACGUUCCCGGGCCUU
rnacentral:rRNA from 1 species